rnacentral:rRNA from 1 species
CAUGCCUAAGACAUGCAAGUCGAACGAGGUGGCCCACUGAAUAAUAUUGAAAAUGGAGUGCUUGCACAAAGUUGGAUUAUUAUGACGUGAAUUUCCACCUAGUGGCAGACGGGUGAGUAACACGUGGGUGACCUACCUUAAGCUGGGGAUAACAGUUAGAAAUGAUUGCUAAUACCGAAUAAUAUAUAACAGUCAAUGUUAUAUUGAAAGGAGCCUUUAAAGCUUCACUUAAAGAUGGGCCUGCGGCGUAUUAACUAGGUUGGUGGGGUAAUGGCCUACCAAGGUGACGAUGCGUAGCCGAACUGAGAGGUUGAUCGGCCACACUGGGACUGAGACACGGCCCAGACUCCUACGGGAGACAGCAGUUAGGAAUAUUCGUCAAUGGGGGAAACCCUGAACGAGCAAUGCCGCGUUGAGUGAUGAAGGUCUUUGGAUUGUAAAACUCUGUUGUAUGGAAAAAACGACUAGGUUAGGAAAUGAACUUAGUGUGAUGGUACCAUACCAGAAAGCCCCGGCUAACUACGUGCCAGCCGCCGC